rnacentral:lncRNA from 1 species
CGAUUUUUGGAUAAUCUAUUCUAGCUCGAAUUCAUGGAUUUAAUGGUAGAUUUCAUAUCUGAAUUUGGAGCAUGUGGUAAUAAAUUGAAUAGGUUAUACAUGUUGGACUUGGAAAUUGAAUUAGGAGAAAACCUGCGAUUUGGACCUGUCACUUGAUUAAACUGCCUGAUUUAGCUCUAGGAGCCGUUAUUAAAUUGUACUGUCGCGGUAUCUUCGAGACGAGUACUCCAGAUAGUUUAGAGUAUAUCUACACUCGUGCUGUUUCGCCGAGGGGAUUUUAUAGGGUCGUUCAGGCUGUUCCAGACUGUAGGGUGCCGUUGAGGUUGACGGUGGACCCGUAUCGCCUUUUUGGCGUCUGAUUGUGCUGAGGGCACGUUACUUGUUGGUUGUUAGACCAGUUAGAGUCGAUUUCUUGACUUUGGCUUUUCAGAGCCUGUUUGAGCUCGACAGAGAUACGCUGCAUACUCGGUUGGGUAGCGCCCACGAGUGCCACUCCGGAGUCAGGCUUUGUGCUUUCGCGUUGAUGUCGCUCAUGCCAGUUGGACUUGCUCUCCACGGACCAGUUAGUGUGGAUAGAGCUUGAUAGUCGCAACGGGGCAGGGACGGGUGUAUUCACAGUCCCGGGGACGGGUAUGCUUACAGUCCCGAUUGGAUUGGGUCAGAUUUGACAUGUCCUACAGUUGGUUAAUAUAGAGCAUGAUAGUGUAGUGAUUGAUAGCGGUAGAGUGUACUUCCUGCUUUUCCUACUAUUCUUGCUCCCUUCUGUAGACUUAGUGGGUGACCGAUAUUAUUUUGGGCGGUACCCACGGAGGACUACUUGUUUUUACAGUAGUUUUCACGCCCAGUUGUUACCUAUGUUUUUGUAGAGCCACAGGUUCCGGCUGCUGCACCGUCCGUGGAUCAGGAUCGAGGCAAGGGCGUCGCGAGUUAGAACCCUACCCGACGUGCUGAGCUAGAGGUGCCCUACUGCAGGUAGAUGUUUUGUUUCGAGUUUAUGUACAUAGUUGACUUAACUCGCCAGUGCGAGUAGCUCUGUAUUUUGGAUCUGAACUAUGUAUAUGAAACUCUGUUUGUUUAACUUCUAUUUUCUCUAGCAGCUCUCUACUACUGUUCGUAGUAGUGUUUGAUUUACAGGUACAGCUGUCACUUCGUAUAUAGGAAAAAUUUCUUUGUAUACGGCGGAUUUGUCGGCGUGCCCGGGGAACGUGUAAUCCGGGGCGUGACAGGGGGAACAAGGCCCUGGUAGAGAGAGAGAGAGAGAGAGAGAGANAUACAUUGGCCACUUCUUGGUAAAUACAUAAAGCAAGAUUUGAAGAGAAAUUUUUGUGAGACUACGGCACUCACCGAACCAGGCAAACGGGUGAGUUGAGUAAUCUGCAUCCGGGUCACAAUAUCCGCUAAUUAGAGGAGUAUGAAUAAAAUUUACUCAUACAUUUUUGGGUAAUCAAUAUUUUUACCCGUAUCCAUCCACAUGCGGGCAGGUUGGUAUGCGAGUUACCCACAAGUUUUUUUCUUUUUCCUACUCCUAUGCUUUCUAAAUACAAAACAUAUAUAUAUAUUAAAAACAUAACGUAACUCCUUAUUUGAAAUAUCAUAACAUAUAAUUAACAAUAUAAAAUCUUUAAAGUAUAUACAUUAUAUAAUAUAAAAGUAUUUUAUCGUCCCAAAUUUUUAAGAUACAAAAUUAAUAAAAUUUUUACUAUUAUAGAGUCAAUAAUAUAAAAAAUACAUAUUUUUUAAUUAAAAAAUAUAUAUGCGGGUAUCCGUGGGUACCUGCGGAUUGUCCUAAAUAUCCAUCACUCAACGGGUACCCACUCGUUUUACCUAUAAUUUUUUGGCUAAAAAAAACUAGUAUCCAUAUCCAUAAAUUUGCAGAUAAUCUGCGAAAACCCGUGAGUAUGGGUAGAGAUUGCCGGGUCUAAGGCCACUAAGGCACUAACAUGCUUUAAAAAAAAAAUUAAAAAAAAGAAAGAAAAGAAAAUUAAAACUUGUGAACCAAAAGCACACUCGAUCCGUUCUCCUAGCCAGAGGUAAAAAAAUAUAUGAAGUUACCCUCAACUUUAAGACAUUCUGAAACACGCCAUUCAAUUUUAACUUCUUAAUUGAGAUUUCCAUUAGGGUGCGUUUGGUUUGUGUUAUAUUUUUAAGAUUCCUAAUAAUCUAAUAGAAAUAAUAAAAUAUGACGGUGUUUGGCUAAACGCAUUAAGUAAUCUAAUUGGUAAUAUUAUAUUUACUUGGGAAUGAGAUUUAUCCCAAAGUACAAAUCUCAUUCCCUUGAGAGAGGGUGGGUAUCCUCAUAUUAAUGAAUUGAGGUAAUCAUAAUAUGUCUAAUAUCUUUCUUUCUUCCAAUCCGCCAGUUAGUUGGUAUUAUUUUUCUUUACACUCUAACCUCAUAUCUCUCUCUAAACUUCAACUCUUUUUCUCUCUCUAAACUAAGCUCGCUCUCCCCCUUUUUCCUAAAAUCUCAAUUCUCUCACUCCCUCUAAUCCCGAUUCUAUUUCUUUUCCUAUUUUUGUAAUUAUGCUUUCUCUCUCUAACCUAUGUUCUCUCUCCUUUUUUUUCUAAAAAGAUGUUAAAAUUUAUUGUAGCAUUAUCUAAAAUUAAUUAAAGAAAUAAAUAAAUUAAUUGUAUAUUUUUUUGUAAUCUUAAAUAACAUGAUUAAAUAAUAUGACCAUACGAACCAAAGACAGUAAUACCAUAUUCUUAGUAAUAGGAUGAGUAUGAAUAAAAUUCUCUGAUAUUUUUUUAUUCCUAGUAAUCUUUCAUAGUGCCAACCAAACGUACCCUUAACUUUUUAAAUUUUUAUUCAAGUUUUUAUAGUUAAUUAAGUUAAAAAUAUUGUUAAAUUUUGUUGUUCAAUUAACUAUCACCAGCUAAUUAAUUUAAUUUUCAUACAUACUCACCCAGCUCCCAAAUUGAUGUGUGACCAUAUCAUGUCGUCAAAAUGACUCGUUCAAAAUCGUUCCACCGAAUCUAAGGAACUUAAUUGGAUGGAAAUUAUGACAUCUAAUUUUAUUGGUAGGAGCAAUCACCAUCAAUUUUUAUCAAACCCUAGACUCAUACGCAAUCAAAGUAUACCCCUUAGACCAAUUCUUGUUAAAAUAAAAAAAGAAAAAAAAAUACAAAUACCCCCCUCAACUUUAGUACGUUCGCAAAUUGACAUCAGAACUUUUAAUUUUGAUAAUUAGAUUUUCUAAUUUUUUUUUAUCAAAGUUUAAUAAACCGCUUCCUUUCAGCAAAAUUACUAAUUGAGUAGUGGUUUUGAUUAUAUGUCUUGCACAUAAUUUUACAUAAAUUUAAAAUAUUUAUUUUUCUCUUCUAGUUAUAUUGCUGAGUACUAGAAUACUUAUGAAUAAAAUGAAUCCAUUUUUAAUUUUUAUUUCUGUUUUUAUGUGUUAGAUAACAAAAAUAGAUUUUUAUAUAAUUUUAAAAUUGUAUAAAAUUAUGUACAAUAUAAGUGACCAGAAUGAUUAUAUGAUUAGUCAUUACAAUUAAAGAGAGAGAGAGGUACAUUUAAAUAUUUGAUAAAGUUUAGAUGAUUUAGUUAUCAAAAUUAGAAAUUUAGAAGCCUACUUGCAAAAAAAGAAUUAUUAAAAGUGUGUUUGUACAUUUUUUUCUAAAAAAUUAUUCAAAACGUCGUAGAAAUAUCUAGGCAAAGCAAUUGAUGUCAUGGCUUUGGUACCAGGUCAUAAAUUCAAAAUUUUCUCAGUUAAAAGUUCUACCUUUAUUCCAUGUAUCUCUUAAUCUUAGAGGAAUCAACUGCUAUAUUGCUUACUGCAGAAGUAUCAAUAGAGAAUUUUGUUUUGGUAUCCCAAUCCUAAUUUAACUCAACAAGUGCUAAAGUGAUUAUUUUAGAAAUAUCAGUAAAGAAUUAGGGUUUGAUGAGUCCUGCUGCUAUACUAUCAAUAGUACUAAACGUUUGGUGCUAUCGAGUUUUCCCCCAUUAGAUCUACCUUUUUAACCAUUUCCAUCCGUUAGAUUAUACUAUUCAAUUAAUCACCCACUCAACCCUAGAAGAUCGCUAUCAUCCUAACCGCACAUCCCUUCAUUCAAGGAUCGAAAACCUAAUAAUGUCAAGCGCUUGGCACUAUUAAUAGUAUAGUAGCCUAAUUCAGGGUUGGAUAUCUCAGUCCUGAUUUAACUCCAAUACACAUUAUAAUCUAUCUUAGUUUGGCAUUCAUAUCCUGUGUACAAAGCUUUAUGGAAUUUAAUUUAUUAUCUAUGAAAGCUAAGCACUCAUCCAGCUUAAGAUUUGCUUGGCCUUACUUUUAUCUUUAUUUUGAUUUUUCCUAGUAGUUAACAUUUAACAUAUAUAUAUACAUAAUUUUUAGUAGAGUACUCUGCAGUAAAAAAAAAAAAUUAAAAACAUAAAAACUGUGAAGCUUUCUGCGCAAUUAAAUAACAUGAAAUGAACUGUUUGUCUUCAAAAACUUAAAUUACCAGAGAAUAUUAUUUUGCAUAUUCAAGUUAUGGAUUUGAAUUUAAUAGAGAAAAAUUAAAUGAAGGAGCUCAAUGGAAUUUGGACUUAAGAACUCCACCCUUUAUAGCUAUCUGAAAAUAGUGUUUAAUAUUUUUAUAUUUCAAUUUCUCAAAUCACAUCGUGUGAAAUUCAAAUUUAGAAUCUUCUGUUUUGAUAUUAUGAUAAACGACUUAGGCCAACAAUUAGGCCAAUUACACAAUGCAUCGAGGUCAAGCCACGCGAUUAUUGGGCUAACUACAAAUUAGGGUAUGCAAAGUAUGCUCUGAUAUUGCAUUAAAUAAUAUAAAUAAUAAUCAUUUAUCACUAAAAACUUAAUUUAGAAGAGAACAGUAUUUUUAUAUUUUAUAUUUAAUAAUAACUUAAAGAUAAGAUAGUAAUUGAAAAAACUAGAAGUUACUAUCGUGCAAUCUUGUAUUAGCUGAAUUAGAUAUCACAUUAUUAAUUACAACAAACUAUGCUGUACAAAUAGUAAAUAUAAAACUCAUAUUAAUUUAGAGUAAAAAGAAAAUAGAUUCACAAAAAAAGCAUAAUGUAUUUUUAGUUUUGGCUAAUUAUUUAUUAUGAUUAAUAUGAGACCCAUUAUAUUGAUAAAAAAAAAAAAAAUUGAGUACAAAGAAUGCAUUCAUAAAUUGAAUUAUAAAUAAAAAUUGAGUUAUAUAUUUUGUGAUAAAAAUAAAUUUAUUAGCCCUAUAUGAUACUACAUAAUUAUUUAUAAUUUACUAAUUUAUAGAAGCAAAAGUAAUAUUUGCGAUAUUUUAUAACUUUGAGAGACACAUUUCAAAUUACCCCUAAAUUCUAUGGGAAUAAUAUCUAAUAUACCUCUCAAAAUAUUUGAAAUAUUUUAUAUACCCUACUAUUUUUUUGUUUCAAAUACAUCUAUCAUAUAUUUCUCCAUUAUUCAAAAAUAACUCCGCUGCUAAUAAAUAUUAAGUCAUCUCGGAUUAAACUUGGAUUAAGUUUCUACAUAAUUAAAAAAAGUCAAAAUACCUCUAACUUAACAGCAAAUUAAAAGUGUUGAUGACAAUAAAAAAAAAAUAUUUAAGAGAGAAAAAUAGUAAUUUAACAAAAAUAACGAUUAUUUUUAAUAAUUUACUAAUAGAAUUUAACUCCACUAUUUUCUUAGAAAUCACUUGAAAUGUCAAUAUUCUUAAUAUUUGACUUUUAAAAAAAACUGGUAACUUCUCAUAUGUAUAUAAAUAAUUAUCUCAAUUUUAUAUGCACGCAAUAACUGUACUAAAGAAGACCAGCUUCUCUUAGUCCAAAACCAAAUAAGUUUUUUUAUUUCGAAAAAAAAAAAAAACAAACAAACAAGCAAAUUUUCAUACAACUCUUCUUCUCUCCGUAUUAUUAUAUAGCCCCGUGUGACGCCCCGUUUCUCUCGUUUCUUCAAUCCCCCAGCCUCCCCCCGUCCACGGCUCCACCUUACAUCUUCCAUCCCCAAAAGCAAAAAAGAAGAGAAGCAGACCGCCCAGCAGCGCGUCCCCAUCCAUCUGUCCGUCCGUCCGUCCGUCCGUCAGUCCUUCUGUCCCCGACAAAAACCGCCGAGCCGAAAGUCCGACUCCCACCUACCACUCCUUUCCUCUCUCACCAACCUCUCCUAAACCCUCCUCCUCAUCUCCCCUCCCCCUGCAGCCUACCCAAAACCCAACCAUCAUAACCACCUUCAUUUCUUUUCAAACGGUUGGUGGCAGACGCAGACGCAGACUCCGAAAAGCGAUGAAAAAGCUCUACCACGGGAAGGCCGGCCGUCGGGUCCACCCGUCCGCUCCCCCGCCACCGCCGUCGGCGUCCCCAAAAUUUCUGAUUCAGCUGGCAGCCCUCCCCGCCGCCGUCCUGGCCCUGGCGGCCGCCCUCUCUCCCGAGGAGCAAGAAGUCCUCGCCUACCUCCUCUCCGGCGGCGGCGAAGGAGGAGGAGGAGGAAAAGGGCGGCGCCGCCGGCGCGGCGGAGGCGCCGUGCUCCACCCGCCGGAGCUGGGCUGCGGGUGCUUCGCCUGCUACAAGAGCUUCUGGGCGCGGUGGGACGCGUCGCCGAACCGCCACGUGAUCCACCGCAUCAUCGACGCCGUCGAGGAGCAGGCCCUCGAGCCCCGCCGCGGGCGCCGCCGCCGCGGGAAGUGCGGUAGCGCGCAGCACCAGCAGCAGCAGCAGCAGCAGCAGCCGCUGGAGGCGGCGGCUGCGGAGGAGGACGGCGUUGAGGAGACAGCGGCGGCGGCCGAGGAGAAGGGGAUUGCGAUCGCCGAUGAUGAGCACGAUGGCGACGAUGAUGGGGACGAUGAAGAUGACGACGAUGAUGCCGAUGAUGCCGAUGAAGAAGAAGAAGAAGAAGACGAAGAAGAAGAAGGAGAAGAAGGGGUUGGUGGGGGGCUUAGCAACCGUGAUGGUGAGAGCAAGAGCACGGUGAGGAAGUUUGUGAGUUUUAUUGUGGACAGGGUUUGGGGAAACUGAAAACCUAAAGUGAUGGUAGAAGGUCGAAAUUAGAAUUGAAGUUUUUCCUGGUUUGGAGAUCAAGAAGGUCAGUUUCCUCUUCCUUCUUUUUUUGGCUAAUUUUGGCAAGGAGAGGAGAGUUGCAAGUCGCAACUCCUUUCUCCUCUCUGUUGUGUAAUAUAUUUAGAUCCUGCUGGCUGAAAUUAGAGAAUUAAUUAAUUCAGGCCUACUUUUGCAAUCUAAGUUGCCCUUUUGAUCCAUGUAAAAAAAAAAAGGCGGGGAUUGGAAAGCUUUUUCUAUCUAAUCUAAUUUUGGUGAGGAGAGUUGUAGCUCCUCUCUGUUUUUGUAAUAUAUUUUUCUGCUGGCUGAAAUAAGAAAAUUCAGGCCUACUUUGCUCCAAUAUUAGCCUCUUUGGUACUUUGCUGCGAUAUUUUUUUUACUCCAUUUUUGCCCUUUUUUUUUUGUCUAUGAAUUGGACUUCUUGUGAAGAUAAUGCUAGCGAGAGAAAAUUUUAUAUAUUUUUUUACAGUGAAUAACUAGUUUUAUCUCUUCUUUUUUUGUUUUUUCUUUUUUUUUAAAAAAAAAAAUUUAGUUUUGAGAGGAGGAAAAGAAUGGAAUGGGGAUGGCAUUGUUGUCAUCCAUUGCAUCUUUCUAAAGAAUCAAUGUAAGUUGAUAGAUGAGAAGUUGAUAGAUGAGAAGAUAGAUGAAGAGGCUUGUGUCAUAUAUAAAUAGCUCAAUAAUCUCUCUAACUGUUAGAACAGUAUAACACCAUGUACUACUCCUCUCAACUAUUCAAUCUCAUGUUCAAUAGUUGUAGAUAGAAUCUUCAUAAUUGGUCCAUUAUUGUAAGUCGACCCAAUUUUGUGCAAGUUAGAUACUCCUUUUUUUUUUUCUUGAAAAAUUGCUUUGUACCUUUAGGUACCGUUUGGUUGGGGAACAAGGGGGGAAUAAGCCCUUGUUCCCCCCUUUGUUCCCAAACGCUAUGUUUGGCUUCCGGGAACAGUAGUUUUCGGGAAUCUGGAACUAGCUGGAAUAAGGCUGGAACUGCUGUUCCACCCGUUUCCUGGAACAAGCUUGUUCCUUGAUGAGAACAAGAUUAAUUAAAAUCUAAAUUUAAUUUUAAUGGCAAUAAAUUAUUAAUUAAUCUAAUUAAUAUAUUUAAAUUAUUAUUUAUUAUUUUAAUAAUUAAAUAAUUAAAUAAUUUAUUAUUUAUAAUUAAUUAUUAAUAAUUAGAUAAUAAUUAUUAUUAAUUUAUUAUUUAUAAUUAAUUAUUAAUAAUUAAUAAUAUUUAUUAAUUUUUUAUUAAUAAUUAUUAAUAAUUAUUAUUCUUAAUGAUAAUCGAUAUUAUUAUUAAUAUAUUAUUUAUAAUUAAUAAUUAAUAAUUAAUAUUAUUAUUUAUUAAUAAUUAAUUAAUAAUUAUUAUUCUUAAUAAUUAGAUAAUCGAUGUUAUUAUUAAUUUAUUAUUUAUAAUUAAUUAUUAAUAAUUAUUAUUAUUAUUUAUUAAUAAAUAUUAAUAUUAAUUAUUAUUAAUAAUUAGAUAAUCAAUAUUAUUAAUAAUUUAUUAUUUAUAAUUAAUUAAUAAGAAUAAUUAAUAAUUAUUAUUAUUUAUUAAUAAUUAAUAAUAAUAAUAAUUAUUAUUAAUUAGAUAAUCGUUAUUAAUAAUUUAUUAUUUAUAAUUAAUUAUUAUUAUUAAUUAUUAUUUAUAAUUAAUUAUUAAUAAUUAAUUUUUUAUUUAUUUUUAAGUAAUAUUUUUAUGUUAAUUAAUUACAUAAUAUAAUUUUAAUUGCAAAUUAUAACGUUUAUUCCUCUUGUUCCAAUCUAAUCAUCCAAACACUUUUUACCUUAUUCCCAGGAACAACCCAAUUUUCAUCCAAACGCAAAAUUGGUCUAGUUCCUGCUUAUACCUGAACUUGUACCUAUCCCUAGAACUAGCAGUUCUUACUUAUACCCGAACCAAACGCAGCCUUACUAGUUUUACAAUUUCUUUUCUACAAAUACAAUAGUCUUGUGUUAGGCUUUUUUGUUACUAUAAUUAUUUUUCUUCUUAUAAAUUAAAUUACUUAUUUUUUCUCUUUUGAUGCUCUCUUUAUUGGUAAGUGGUAUAUUGUAAGUUGGCACUAAAUUAUUGGCAAUUUGUGACACUCCUCAUAUUUAUAAUACUCAUAUAUAUGAGAUAUAUUAUGAUUAAAUUUUUUAAUCUAAUUAUAACAUUUUGGAUAGUUGUUCGGUUCAAAUAAUUAAGAGAACUAAAUAUAUUAGAGUCAGAGCAGUUUUAGAAUAGAUGAUUUCUUGAGAAGUGAAACGUCACAGGUGAUAUUAGGAUCAAUCAAUAGCCACAAGUGUGAGAUAAAUCUAAGCUAAGUCAGAAAGGUCAGCUAAGUCGAAAAGUUUAAGAAAGUUAAGAAUACUAGGGCUUAAAUAGUCCUAAUAUAGAUAAUCUCGUAGAAAAUGGGACGUCACAAAAUUAAUCAUGUUGAAUGUGUUUAAAUGCUAAUGAUAUUAAUGGGUUCCCACUAAGCAUGCACCAAAUUAUAUAAAGCCUACUAAAGCUAACACAAAAUACCUACCUUUCUACGAAAAAGUAAACCAAAAGCAUCAAUCCCCCCUCACUUUUCUAAAUAAUGUGUCACAACUCACAAGUUGCUUUUCUCUAGCCAAUUACAAGGUGAAAGGUAAGGGACAUUGGUAGGGAGCGCCCUCUUUGUUUGUUCUUGCAUUGGGGAGAAGGUAGAAAAGCCAACAGAAGGGGGGCUUUGUAGAAAGGUGUGAGGACAAAAGCGGUAAGCACGAUGUCCCGGAAACAUUGGUGGUGGUGGUGGUGGGGGCGGCGGCGGCGGCGGCGGCUUCGGUAUUACCAAAAGGAGUGAAAGGGAGACUCGGGAAUUAUUCCACACACCAAAUGCAUCAUUUAUUGUGUUAUAAAAUUCCAUCAUUAUUACCGAUCAUUCCUACAGCAAGUGGCAAAAUACUUAGUGGUUGAUAUCCGAUACCCAAGUUCAAACUCUAAUUGAUUCAUAUUUUUAGCUAAAUUUAUUUCUAAAUAAAAUAAACGAAGCAAGUAGCGUGCUACCUAUCUCUCAAAAAAAAAAAAAAUUUCCAUUAUUAUUUCUCCAGAGUUUAAAAAAAAAAAUGUACGAAGAUCUCCUAAUUAAACUUUAGCGCCACUAUUCUAAAUUUUUUAAUUUUGAUAAUUAGACGACUUAAUUUUAUUAAAUAGUUUAAUAGAUCAUUUUCUUUAAUCAAUGAUAAAAAAAUAUUUUUUUAUUCUAAUAAAUGAAAGAGUUAUACAAUUGAAGAUAAAUGCACUCUAUCCUUUAAUCUUAAUAUUUAGAUAUCUUAAGUAAAAAGAAAAUAUAUUUUUUUUAUAUUUUAAAGUUAUAAAAAGUAAUAUGCAAGACAUGCUAUUAUUAAAAUAGCUAUUCAAUUAGUAACUUUAUUCGAAAUAGAGACGCAUUAAAUUAUUUGAUAAAAAUUUAGAAUUCUAAUUGCCAAUUAGAAGUGCAAAUUAUUUUACGAGAUCUUCGUACACUUUUGCAGAUCUAUGUGUCACGGACACUUCUGUAAGCCUAGCAUAUUCAUGUCGGACACAUGUCUGAUGUGGACACUCAUUGAACGCCCAUUUAAUACCGAUCCAUAACGCAUACAACUAAUAUACAUAUAAUAUAUAUGAGUCCAGCUACUAUACUCUUAUGAAUAUGAUCGCCCUCGUACUCAUAAGUUAUUUUCGAUGAUAGGGCUUUCGAAUCGACAAUCCAUACCGUUAAAUAUUAUCUAGAGCAUUUAAAACUUCUAGAAAUUAAAUUUCAUAAUUUUCGAUAUCAUUUACCUUACGAUCAAAAGCUCACAAAAUUGAUAAUUUUUAACGGCCGGUAUGGGAUAGUUGUUAGUUUAAAGGUGUAAAAGAAUUGGAAUAGGUUGAAGUUUUGAUAGAAAAUUCUAUUCACUACCUAGAUAAAGAUUAAUAACUCCGAUCUUAAAUUGAAGAAUCUGAUCAUCCAUUUUUAAGACGUCGUUCGAUUUUGACCGUUUAUUUUAUGUCCGUUUGAUGGACUUUAUUAUAAUUUUGAAAAAUUACGAAAUUUAUUUUUUAGAAGUUUCAAAUACUCUAGAUCAUAUUUAAUGGAAUGGAUUGUCGAUUUGGAAGCCCUAUAAUCGAAAACAACUUAUGAGAACGAAGGGCCCAAUACUCAUAAGAGUAUAGUAGCCCUACUCAUAUAUAUACUAAUAUAUAUAUUAUAUAUAUAUAUAUAAUAUAUUAUAUAGUAUAUACAUAUAUAUAUAUAUAAACACUAGGUUGAGCUAGAAUAUCGUCAACAGCACAAAAGGUUGGUGCUUUUGAGUUUUUUAACCCUUGGAUGGAGAUAAGUAAGAUUGGUGAUGGUGGUAGUUGGUGGUAGGGAAAUAGUAUUUGAUCAAGGCUUUAGUAAUCAGGAGUAGAUCAAGGGCUAAAACUAAUGAGCCACAGGUGAUUACUUCUAAGAAGGAUUUCUAGCUAAUUAUAUACUAUAUAUAUAGAGUCCGGCUAUGGUAUGUGUAAAAGCACUAAGCACUUGAUCUUGUAAAAUUUUUACGUUCAGGAUAUACACCUUUCUCCCGUUAGAUUAUUCUAUUCAGAUCAAGUCACCCACGUCAAACCUAGAGGGCCCACAUCAUCCUAACCGCACAUCCCUUAAUCUAAGGGCGAAACUUACAAGCAUCAAUAGACUUGGGUACUUUAAAAAAUGAAGCUAAAUCUCUAUACAUAUAGAGUCGACUACGGUAUAUCGUAUGAGUAACGAUCGUCCUCGUACUCAUAAAUAUGUUUUCGAUGAUAGAGCUUCCGAAUCGACUUAAUCCACACCGCUUAAACUCUAUUUAGGGCAUUUAAAACUUUAGAAAUCAAUUUCAUAAUUUUCGACAUCAUUUAAACUUAUGAUCAAAAGCUUCAAAAAAUUACAAUUUUUACUGCGGUAAGAGAUACUUUUCUAGCUUUAACGGUGAUGAAAAGAAUCGGAUAGGUUGAAUUUUAUAGAAAAUUCUAUUCAUACCUUACAUAAAGGAUCAAUAAUCCAAUAAUCUUAAAUUGGAAGGAUCGAUCAUCCAUACUUUUAAGACGCUCGUAUCGAUUUUGACCGUUAAUUGUUAUGCCUGUGCUUAAUGGACUUUAUUAUGAUUUCGAAAAUUAUGAAAUUAUAUUUUCUAGAAGUUUCCAAAUUACUCUAGAUAUAUUUAACGAAGUGGAUCGUCAAUUGGAAGAUCCUCAUCGAAAAACAACUUAUGAAGUAUAAGGCCCAUACUCAUAAGAUAUAGUACCCUACUAGGUAAUUAUAUAUAAUAAUAUAUAUAUAUAUAUAUAUAUAUAUAUAUUAAUAUAUUAUUAUAUAUUAUAUAAUAUAUACUAUAUAACUAAGCUGGAAUACUACUCAAUAGCACCAAUUAUUGGAUGCUAUUUAGGUUUCGGCUGAUAGAUGAAAAGUUACAGUUACGAUGAUGGUAGGGUCAUCUAGCGGUUAAGUGAGUUAUUGGUUAAAUAGUAUAAUUAAUAGCGUUAAAAUAAUAAUGGAUUAAAUCUAACGGUGGAAAAGUGUUUUGGUAGUACUAAGCGCUUAGGUAGUAUCGAUUAGUAUUCCAGCCGGACUAUAAUAUAUAUUAGUAUAUAUAUAGUAAUAUAUAGUUAUAUAUAAUAUAUAAUAUAUGCUACUUUACUAUCAACCAACCGUUACUGUGUACUAUUUGAACGUUUUCGGCGUUGGAUGAAAGGAUGUGAAGUGAGGAUGAUAGUGUCCCUAGGGUUGAGUGGGUAGUGGUUGUUUAUGUAUAAUCUAACUAUGAUGGAAAUGAUCAAAGGAUCAGAUCUAAACGGUAGAAAAGUCAAUAUACCGAAGGCUUGAUACUAUCGAUAGUAUAGUAGCCGGACUCUAUAUAUAUAUAUAUAUAUAUAUAGUGGAACUGGUAUGCUUUUGGAAGCACGGAGCCCUCCUUGCUUCCAAGUUGUUUCAAUGUUUCUCAGACUUUUGAAUCAACGAUCGGCUCUUGUUAGAGUUGCUAGAGUAUUUGAAGUAUCUAGAAAAUAAUUUUUACUUUUUCGAUAUAUUUGAUAGUGAUCCGAAGGGGCCUCAAGAAUAAUAAUUUUAAUGGCGUGGUGAAGCAUUUGCAAUUUACCGCGUGUAGAAAUAUCCAAUCACAUUGAAAUUUUGAUAGAAAAUUCUUAUACCAUAUAAAACAAAAUCAAUAACUUGAUUUAAAUCUUUUAAUUCAUAUUAUCAUAUUUUGUAAGAUUUUUAUUUUCAACCGUUGAUUUUGAGCCACUUCGAUCGACUUAGGCAGCAUGACUAUCGAAAAAUCACAAAAUUUAGGUUUCUAGUGUACUUCAAAUACUCUAGAAUCAAGUCACGGAGACCGUGUCGAUUGAAAAGUUCGAAUACGAGAAACAACUUUGGAAGCACGGAGCGCUGUGUUUCCGAAGAUAUCAAACGCGCAUAUAUAUAUAUAUAUAUAUUAUUAUAUAUAUUAUUUUAGGAUAUAGACUGAAAUACUAUCAAUAGCACCAAAUUAUUAUUGCUAUUAGAUUUUCUACCCUUGGAUAAAAAAAAUAUACAGGUAGAAUGAUGUGGGCCCCCUAGGUUUGAGUGAGUUAUUGGUUUAAUAGUAUAAUCUAACGGAUAAAAAUAGUCAAAGGGUUAAAUCUAACAGCGGAAAACUUGAUAGCACCAAACGUUUGGUAUUAUCGAUAGUAUCACAGCCGGACAAUAUAUAUAUAUAUAUAAGCUGGGGCUACUAUACUCAUAUGAGUAUAGAUCCCAUUGUACUCAUAACUUUUCGGCCGUUCAGACGAAAAAAUGUACGGUUAGGAUGAGAGUCGUUACGACUAAGUUGAUAGUGGGCCCUCUAGGGUUGAGUGGGUGGUUGGUUGAAUAGUAUAAUCUAACGGGUGAAAAUAAUUAAAAGGUAGAUCAAGCGGCAAAAAACUUAUUAGUACAAGAGCCUCUAUACUCAUAAGAGUAUAGUAGCCAUACUAUAUAUAUAUAUAUAUAUAUAUACACUACAACAAAAAUGGUCUAUAGCGACACUUUUAAAUGUCGAUACAGGUCAAAAAAAUUGUUGUUGGCUAAAUUAGCAACACUUUUAAAAAGUGUUGCUAUAUGUGGGGUCGCUAGGUAUAUAGUGACUGUUAAAGAGUGUCGCUAUAACCUAAAAAGAGUGCUGCUAAUUUACCAACACUUAUUUAAGUAUUUAGCAACCACCGGAACUCUACCUCGUUGGCUGCGGUGGCGGAGGAGGACGAGAGGAAGGGAUCUUCGUCUAGGAUUUCAGUGGAUUGAGUGAGGGGAGAAGGGAAAAUGGUAAUCGAUUUUUCUUCCUUUUUUUUUUCUUUUCUGUUUGUAAUCGGGUCGAAUGGGCCAGGUGGGGUGCGUUGAGUAGAGUAACAUUUUAUUUUUGGUUGGAUUUGGCUUUAUAUUUAGGCAUUAGUAGAUUUUGUUUAAAGUUUUGGUAUCAGUGGGACGCUUAUAGAAAAGUGUCCCAAACAUGUGUCCCUAUAACCUAAUUCUGUUGUAGUUAUAUAUAUAAAUAUAUAUAUAGAGUAGGUCUCCCGUACUUUCGAAAGUACGGAGGCCUCCGUGCUUGUAAGUUGUUAUCGAUGAUAGGACAUCCGAUUUGACGAUCGGCUCCGUUAGGCAUAAUCUACGCUGUUGAAACUAUCUAGAAACCAAAUUUUAUAAUUUUUCGACUUCAUUUACCAAGCGAUCAAAGGGUCUCAAAAUUGACUAUUUGAACGGCCGAUGUGGCACGUUUUUAAGUUCAACGGUGUAGAAGUAUCCAAAUGACGAUGAAAAAUUUUAUAGAAUUCUUUUCACUAUUUAGAAUAAGACAGUAUAUCCAGAUCUUGAUUUUAAUAUUCUUUAUUGAGUCAUUUUUUUAUAAGAUUAUUUUCAGCGUUAAAAUUUUAACACUACUGUUUGAUAAGGUAAUGAUAGUCGAAACAUUAAUUUAAAUUUUAGUUUUAAUACUUUCAAUAGUAUAGAUCAACUCUAAUGGAGCGAUCGUCGAUAUAUGGAAGCCACGAUCAUCGAAAAAAUUGGUAAGCAACGGAAGCGCCAGUGCUAUGAUAGUAUUAGUAGAGCCUACCUAUAUAUAUAUAAUACUAUAUAUAGUCCUGCCGAUAUCUAAUCGAUAGUGAAGAGUAUUUGUGCUAUCAUAGUUUUCUGCCGUUAAUUUGGCCAGUCUUUUAUCAUUUCAUCCGUUUCAGAUUAUACUAUUCGAACUAACCACACCACUCAACCCCUAGGAGGCCAAUUUCCUAACAUGAAUUCUUUUAAUCCAACGCAAAAAUUAAUAGUGCAAAGUCAUUUGGUGCUAUUUACCGUUCGAUUUAUGACUAUUCAACUAACAUGCACCACUCAACCCUAGGGCCAACAUUAUCCUAACCAUAUAUUCUUUUAUCCAAAUGCAAAAACUAAGUACACAAAGAUCUGGUGCUGAUUAAUAUAUCUAAGCCUAGUUCUAUAUAUAUAUAUAUAUAUUAUCUAUAUAAUAUAUAAUAUAUAUAUAUAUAUAUAUACGAAUUAGGCUACUUAUACUAUCUAUAGUUACCGGAGCUCGCGUUACUAUAGUCUUGUUUUCGAUGUUAGGCGUUUCAAAUUAACAUCCACACCGUUCAUAUGAUUUUUAGGCGUAUAUGAUUUUUAGAAUAAAUUUUGUAGUUUUUUCGACAUCGUUUACUUAGUAAUAAAUUAUAUCAAACAUAUGACCGGUGAUUGAAUAAUCUUUAAAAUUUGAGCAUAGAACUUUUAAAUUCAAAAUCAAGAAUGUUAACCUUAAUCUAGAUAGCUUAAAAUAUUUUCUAUCAAAAUUUGAAGAAAUUCAGAUUCUUCUAUACCGUUAAACUCCAAACUCGCUAUAGUAGCCCUUGAAAAUUAACAAUUUUGAAAUUAUUUGAUCAUAAAGUAAACUAUGUCGAAAAAAUAUAAAAUUUUAUGUCUAAAAACUUUAAAUACCCUAGAUCAGUUUUAACGGUGUGGAUCGUUGAUUUGAAUACCCUAAAAUCGAAAACGAGACUAUAGUACCAGAGACCCGGUACUAUAGAUAGUGUAGGAGACUAGCUCUUUCUCUCUCUCUCUCUCUCUCUCUCUCUCUCUCUCUCUCUCUCUCUCUCUAUAUAUAUAUAUAUAUAUAUAUAGUAGGUCUUGUGUGCUACCGUGCUCUAAGCCGUUUUUGAUGAUGGAGCUUUUAAAUCGACGAUCGGCUCCGUUAGAUUUGAUUUAGCAUAUUUGAAAUAUGUGGAAAAUAAAUUUUGCGAUUUUUCGAUAUCAUUUACCUAACAAUCAAAAAAGUUCGAAAUCAACAAUUUUUAAUGCUUGAUGUAUGUUGUUUGCAAGUUUAACAGUAUAGAAGUAUUCAAAUCAGAUAAAAUUUUGAUAGAAAAUUUUUAUACUAUUUACUGCAAGAUUAAUAUCUCUUAUCGAAAAUUUUAGUGCUAUAUUAUCAAUUUUUUUUGAGAUUUUUAUUUUCAGCUAUUGAUUUUGAACCCUUUCAAUCACUAGGUAAAUGAUAUCGAAAAUUUGCAAAAUUUAUUUGUCAAAUACUUUAAAUAAAUUAGAUUAAGUUUAACAGAGUCGAUUGCUGAUUCAGAAGUUCCAUCAUCGAAAACGACUUACGAGCAUGGAGGCCUCUGUGCUCCUAAUAGCACACAAGACCCACUCUAUAUAGAGUUUGGCUAAAAUAUUAUUGAUAGUAUUUGCUUUCUUUUGCUAUUAAAAUUAUAGGAUUAUGAUGAUAUUAGUCCCUUAAGGCUUCGUUUGGUUCGGAUAUAAGCAAAAACUAGUUAUACCGGGAAUAGGUACAAGUAUAAAUUUUCGUAGAAACAAGGAUAUUUUUUUGUUUGGAUGAAAAUGUGAGUAUAAGCUGGAACUAGAAAAAUUGCGUUUAGAUGAAAAUGUGAGUAUAAGGUGGAAUAGUUGGUAAUUAUAAAUAGAAAAUAAUAAUAUUACUAAUUUAAAAUUUAAAAACUAAAAAUAUCAUAUUUAAAAUUUAAAAUUUAAAAAUAUCAAAUUUAAAAUUUAGGUGUUAGGAUUGAGUGCUCCCUCUAGGAUUGAGUGGUCUUCACUAAGUUAUAAUAUUUAAUUCAGUGGUUAGAAAUGAUCAAAGAAAUUAAUCCAAAGGUUAAAAACAUGAUAGUAAAAGAGGGUAAAUACUAUUAAUAAUAUUCUAGUCCAACAAGAGGAUAUGAUCGCUCGUAACGUGAAAGAGGUAUGAUUGAAAUGUUUCUCCGUCGAUUCUGCACACAGUUCAUCAGGAUCUCUCCAUACCAAGAGGAAGGAGGUCGGACAGCAGUCUCCUUUGUAUUGCAACGCUUACUAACACUGAUACCAAACAGAUCAACAACUACAAUCUACAUUACCCAAUCAACACCAAGGCAUGAUACUGCAUUUCAUACAGCUUAAUAAUCCUUAGAAGGAUGCAUGCCUCUAAGCAUUCUUAGGCGCUGGAUAGAUGGCAAUGCAGACAAUAACACAAACAUCCUAUUUAAAAGUGCUGCCCACGACGGAAGCUUUUGUUUUUGAAAACUCUAUUCUUCCAUGUCAUAAAAACCAUUCGAUAAACCUUUUUAAAACUGUUUCCCACACGGAAAAUCGUACUUUUGAAAUACCCGACUUACCUCGAGGCCGUAGAAAUAACCCGAUAAUAUAAAUAACAGAGGAAAAUCGAUAUCCAUAAAAUCAAUAUCCAAAAUCCACAAAACCUUAGUUUACAUCAUAAAUAUACGAAAGGCAUGCGCAGAAUGACUACGCAAACUCAGAUCAGCCAAACAAUUCAAAACAAUAUCAUAAGAUCAGCCUUAACAGUGAACCUAUAAACUAUUCUAAGCUAUAUCAACAGGACAGUAAGGGUAAGAAACUAAACCAAGUAACCUGAGUCGGAAGCUUCUAGCGCCACAUACGAACAGUGUCUCACGUCUCCGUCUCUAACUUCUCACACAGCCGGCCGAUACUGAAAAAUAGUGGGGAGGGUAACACAACUUUAAACAUGUCUCCUCCCUCCCAGGUGGGGUACCGCAAGCCGAUGAAGGCGAGAGUACACCGGAUCCAAGGAAGAGCCUAAAAACAGUACGGGUCAAGUAAAUACAGGAGCAAUAAUUAGUGAAAUGAAGCAGAAACAUAACGAAGAGAGUACAACUACGCGCUACUGUAAUGGACUAACUGAAAUUAAUACAUGUAACAAGAGCAUGUAAUGAAAGAACGAAGGUAUACAAGCAAGCUACAACCGCUACUAUAGUUAUAUGCACAACUCGGACUAACGAAGUCAAAUAUACCCAAUCUAGUACGCUGCUAUAUCUUGGUCCGCAGACAACUCAAGCGCAUGCCUGUCACGAACCUGGCACAUCCGACCUGAUUCACGACCUCGCGGAACCGCCACAGGAACACCCAUCCGGAUAAAGUACACCUCCGACGGUGCCAACCGAAAUCCGUGUCCGUGUAAUACCUCCAAGUCUGUGACUGAAGUCAUGAUGGUAAUGCUGCAAUACACGGCUAACCCAGGUGCCUAAGGCCGAAGCCAGAAACAAGGACGUACAUACGCGCGAACCUCGAUCAACCACAGUCGAAACACAGUGACGAGAGAGUCGAAUGCGUUACCUGACCGAUAGGUCCCACAGAGUCCAACCCGACCCAGCAAAGGUCCACGAUACGAAGUACGAGAACUGCCAACCAGGUCAACAGAUACGAAUGCACAACCCAAUCCAACUAGGUCAACAGAUACUUGAAGCACAAGACAGACAAGGCAGGUCAAGCAGAGUACUCCGAAUGCAACAAACAGACCAAACUAGGUCAACAGAUACAGAAUGCAACAACAGACCGUCAUAAGACCACUCAGGUCAACAGAUACACAUGUAGAAUAGAACUACCUAUCCUACUCAGGAUAUCUAAGCAUGCGAAACAACGAGUAGAGUUAAACGCAAAUAAACAAGGGUGCAAGCUCAAAUACUAUGGGCGAUAGUACAACAGAAGAGUAAGGGUAAGAAAACCGUCACCUAAUGCGUGCACCACUGUACUCGACGUCGGAUCGAAUACCCAACUCUGUACGGAUGUUCGCGUCUAUCCUGACCUGCAGGAAGAGAAUUGUCGACAAGACCUAUAGAGGGUCCCCGGGUUAAGUAUCGUAACUCCACAAACUAAUAAUCACAGUACCACACCUCACAACGAUUCCACAAAAGAUCGUUCCCAAUACCGAUUACCUAAUCGCCGAGAGUCGAAAACCACACCGGAGCGCCCCGGCGGACGCACUAAAGUGUCCCGAACAUCAACCGACUCACACCAACAGUCACCGCCCGCUGCCCCCAAAACAUUCAAUUUGGGAUGCCUUUGGCAGCGAACACAAAGUCAACACAACGAUAUGAUCAUCGCCGGAAUAAUCGUAUACAUCGGGUUCCCGGAGUUGUCUAUUCGACACCGGAACCUCACGUCGCUUCACUCUAUGCCUCAUCGAACCAUACAAAAUUGACGAUGGUAGCCAGGCCGCAACAAGGCUCAGCGACAAAACACGAGCAACCAAACACCGUCGGAAAGGACCGAACACGGCGAAACCCGCGUUCUUUCGGUCGAUUUCGCCGAAAAACGCACACCAAAAAUCGACUCCUUCGAUUUUCCGCGAAAACUACAGGAUCAUGACAAUCAUCCAGAGGUCAAAACUCACACCACUUGCCCCACAUGAGCCACACAUGAUGCACAAUUGCAUAAAGCCAAAAAACGCUCAACUUAUCAUAAAAUAACCAUAUUUUAUGUAAAUGAGCGAUAAGCGCGGCUCGAUCGACAGCAAACCAGGACUUUCGAAGUCCGCAAGAGACAGCGUACUGACAGUCCUCGACGUAACCGGAGUCCGUGCUCACGUCGGAUUGUACACGCUCACUGUGGGAAGUCGCGGGAGCAACGACCGAAGAGUUCAGCGAAUAGCGGCGCAGUCAGGGUGAAAUCGCGCCCGUAACAGAAUAACUCGGACCUUCUGAUACCAAAGUGACGGUGAGCAACUGUGAUCGGCUCUGACCACAACGAUCACGUGCUCACCUCCGAGGCAGUCAGAAGCCUCCGGAUCGCCGGAUAAACAACACAUCGGAACCCGAAAACACGGUGCAGCCAAAAAGGCUGAAACGGGGCGAACAUCGCCGAAACAGCGAACGGGCCUUCCCGACAAAAACUAAAGGUGAGCAGAGUGAUCAGAUAACCUUCCAAGGAAUCAUCGUGCUCCCGUUCGCGCAGAGACGGGAGGCUCGGGAAGCUCAAGAAGCACAAACCCACAUCAUUAAGCCCUAUUUCGGCUUGGCCGGAGCAAGCUUUGCUCCGCCGGGCCUCUCGGCGGCAACGACGGCGCGCGGCAGGCCCAUAGUCGGGUUGAGGGGGAGGUUGAGGACACACGUGGCUCACCUUCAGACGGCGUGCGAGGAGCGGCGGCGGCGCGCGGAGCAAAGCCGACCCGUACCAACUAGAGCUCGGGUUCCGAGGAAUCUCGAGCCCACGGGGCGGCCGGGAGCUCCGGGAGGCGGAGGCGGCUGCAGGAAGCUCGGCGGAAGUCUUAAACACGGGUGCCCAAGGUGGCGGCGCGCGACUGGGAGGAGCCGGCAGCACGGCUUCGGCUCCGGUCGCUCGGAUUGGAGGGCUGCAGGCGGCUCGCGCAGGCAGCACCGCAGGCGCUCGGGCCGGCUCGGAGCAGAGGUGGCCGCGACUGCCUGAGUCGGGGAGAUGCCCACAGGGUGCGGCCAAGGGCCGGCGGCGACCGCGGGGAGAAAGGCGCAGGGCUGCCGGACCGAGCGUGGGUCUGGGGCGGCCAUACGGCUGGCCGUAGGCGGCAACUGGCGCCGCGUCGGGCGGCGGCGACGGCGAGGAGGGUGUCCCGGGCACUGGGGCGUGUCCCGGGAGAGGUCUCCAUGCGCGGCAGGCGCGCCUGGCGCUGAGCAACCACGCUCGGCCUAGGCUCGCCAGCGGGGGCUGCUCGGCAGGCGGCUGGAGCGCUUGCGGCGGCGCAUGGCGAACGGCGGCGGUCGGUGGGGGAAGAACGCACGGAGCACGGGGUGAACCCCGGGGGAGGGUCCGAAGUGGCGUACGGCACGGGCAUUCCCUCACAAACCCGAGAAGAGAGAGAUAAACAAUAAGACAAGGAAAAACAGAGAGAGAACGAAAGGAGAAGUGGGAAGGAAGUGCUGCGCGGCGGCCGGGGCUCAGCCGCGGCGGCGCCGGGGGUGGUGGCGGCGAGGGUAGGGGAUAGGAGAAGGUGGCUGGCGACUAGGGUUAGGUUAGGGGAAACCAUAAACCGUGUUCUGCUAGAACUAAUAAAACCAAGGUGUAACUUCGCAAAAAGGUCCACACAAAACACUCGGAAUCAAUCCGAGCGCCUUCACCGAACAGACUAAAACGCGAGAACGACCCUCCACGUGCGAUCCUCGCGGAAAGACGGUAAAGCAUAAUAAUACGCGACUUUCGCUGAAAUAGACCGUUUUGCCAGCUACCGACCUCUCCUGCGAUAACGCGCCGAUCUCCGCAGAUCCGCCGUGCAAUCGAAACGGAUUGGCACCAGUGCGAAUCAGCACCUUCGGAGACAACAAAAGCUAUCCAAUUGUCGUUUCGUGCUUGAUCGACCACGGAUUUCACGACAAAUCCAACCUUCGUUCGAAUAGAAAUGAAACACAACAANNNNNNNNNNNNNNNNNNNNNNNNNUGCCUAAUAUAGUAUAUAUAUAGGUGUUAGAGCUACUAAUGCUAACGGAAGUAUAGAGGAUAGUUAUGGGCUCUCAACUUAUAAUUUGACCAUUUGAUAAUAAAAUUAUAAACGGUUGAUGAAUUUGCGCCCCGCCAGGUUUGAGUAGUAACUCCUAGGGUUGUGGAGAGUCCCACCGAUUAAAAUAAGUAUUAAUCUAAAGGUUAAAAGCGAUUAAAGAGGUUGAUCUAAGGCGCAAAAAAUCGGAAAACCAGAUCCUCAUAUGCUUCCGAUAGUAAUAGUAGGCUUACUAUAUAUAUAUAUUAUAUAUAUAUAUAAUAUAAUAUAUAUAAUAUAGAGAAGGAGAGAUAGAUGAGAGGAGAGAGAAGAGAGAGAGAGUCCGAUACUUAACUCUUUAUGAUUAUGAUACGCCUUCAUACUCAUAAGUCGUAUUUUAAUGAUAGAUGCUUCUAAAUCGAACGACCAUACCGUAAACAUUAUCUAGAGUAUUGUAAAAACUUUUAGAAAAUAAUUUUUAUAAUUUUUGACAAUCAUUAUACACUUAAGAGAUUUCAGAAAUUAACAUUUUAACGGCCAGAUAUGAAAUUUUGCUAGUUUAACAGUUUGUAUAAAGAAUCAAAAUCGGUUCAAAUUUUUUAUAGAAAAUUCUAUUCACUAUCUAGAUAGAGAUCAAAAUUAACUUCCGAUCUUAAAUUGAAAGGAUCGAUCAUCGCUAUUUUAUUAGGACGUUGUUUGAUUUUGACGAUUCAUUUUAAUGCCCCCUUGAUGAACUUUAUACUUAAUCGAAAAUUAUAAAUUUAUGUUAAAAAAGUUUCGAAAUACUCUAAAUCAUAUUGAAUUCGAGUGGAAUCGUCGAUUCGGAAGCUCAUCAUUGAAAACUAAUUUAUGAUAAGGAGGGCUCUGUACUAUAAUAGUAAUAAGUACCCUUCUCCUCUCUUCUCUCUCUCUCAUCAUCGUGGAAAUUGAAGCCGAUGACCGUGAAAUCUCUCUCUUUCUUUCUCUCAAUAAGAAUCCGCUCCGAUCUUCACAUCUCUCUCUCUAUAUAUAUAUUAUAGAGUGAUGCUAGUAUGGCUUCUGAAAGUAUCGUAACCUUACUGCUUGCCAAGUCGUUUGGGAUUUCAAUGAUGAUGUCGGCUUCUGUAAAACUUGAUCUAAAGUAUUGAAGUGUCUAGUAAAAUAAUUUGGUGCUUUUCAAUAUUAUUUACAGUAUGAUCGAAGAAGCUCAAAAUCAAAUAAAUUUUAAUGUCCGUGGUGAGCCGUUGCGAAGUUGAACGGUGUAAAAAUAUCCCAAAUACGGAAAUUUUUUGAUAGAAUUUUUAUACUAUUAUAAAACAAGUCAAUAUUUUAUGAUUUAAGAAUUUUAAAUUCAUAAUCAAUCAUAUUUGUAAGAAUUUUAUUUUCAGGCCGUUGUAUUUUGAAUGCACCACUUCGAUCUACUAGCCAAAGAUAACAAAAAUUGCAAAAUUUAUUUUCUAGAUACUUAAAAUAACUGCUAGAAUCAGUCUAACGGAGCUGAUGCAUCGAUUCAAAAUCCUAACAUCGAAAACGACUUGGAAACAACGAAGCGCUCAGCAUGCUUCUAGAAGCUAUACCAAGCCGGCACUAUAUAUAAUUAUAUAUAUAUAUAUAUAUAUAUAUAUAUAGGAGAGAGAGAGAGAAGAAGACUGGAGAGAGAGAGAGAGAUUUGGCUAGAAAUACUAAUCGAUAGCAUGCUCCGUUCCACCCAUUUAUUUCGAUGAUGGAGCCUCCAAAUCGAUGAUGGAUACCUGUCAACGCCCCGGGCCGAUUUUAAAAGCCCUUUUUAAAAAUUAGAGUUGCGGAAAACGAUGCCUUUUUUUUUUUUUUUUUUCAACCUGCCGCACGCGACGUACAGACGCCGCCACAAUACAAAGUCCUCUGUCGCACUCGGACAGCAGUCUCCUUUGUAUUGCAGCGGCUUACAACUGAUACACAACAGAUCAACAACUACAACUACCAUUAACGCAAUCAAACACCAAGGCAUGAUACUUCAUUUCAUACAGCUUAACAAUCCUUAGAAUGAUGCAUGCCUACUAAGCACUUCUAUAGGCGCUGGAUGAUGCAAUGCAGCAAUAAUACCAAAAACAUCCUAUUUAAAAGUGCUCGCCCACGACGAAGCUUUUGUUUUUAAAUACUCUAUUCUUCCAUGUCAUAAAAAGCCAUGUCGUAAACCUUUUUAAAACUGUUUCGCCACACGAAAAGUCUAUUUUGAAAUACCCGACUUACCCUCGAGGCGUAGGAAACAACACGAUAAUAUAAAUAACAGAGGAAAUCACGAUAUCCAUAAAAUCAAUAUCCAAAUCCACAAAACCUUAGUUUACAUCAUAAAUAAAACGAAAGCAUCGCGCCAGAAUCGUACGCAAAGCUCGAUCACCAACAUUCAAACAAUUCAUAAGAUCAUUAACGUGAACCUAUAAACUAUUCUAAGCUAUAUCAAACAGGACAGUAAGGGUAAGAAAACUAAACCGAAUUAACCUGAGUCGGAAAGCUCUAGCCUGCAACUCACAACAGUGUCUCACGUCUCCGUCUCUACACUCUCACACAGCCGGGCGAUCACUGAAAAAUAGUGGGGAGGGUGAACAAACUAUGUAAACAUGUCUGCCUCCCUCCCAGUGGGUACCGCAAGCCGAUGAAGGGCGUAGGAGUACACCGGGAUCAAGGGAAGAGCCUAAACAACAGUACGGUCAUAGAAAUACAGGAGCAAUAAUUAGGAAAUGAAGCAGAAGACAUAGUAACGAAGAAGUACAACUACGCGCUACUGUAAGUGACUAACUGAAAUGUAAUACAUGUAACAAGAGCAUGUAAUGAAAGAACGAAGGUAUACAAGCAAUUACAAACCGCUAUAAUAGUUAUAUGCACAACUCGGACAAAGAAGUCAAAUAUACCCAAUCUAAGUACCAUGUAGUAUUUUGGUCCGCAGACGCUCAAAGCGCUGCCUGUCACGAUACCUGGCACUCGACCUGAUUCACAAACCCCCACAGACGAAAUACAUAUAAAACAUGUAUUUUUGGAUUUUCUCGAAAUCCGUGCGUCAAAACCAAAAUCCGUCAGCGCCAUUAGUUCCAGAAUAGCUGAACCGGUCGAAACGAGCUAUUGGACUGCUAUGAACAGAGUCCGGUACGAGCCAGAAGCCAACUUCUCACCGCGGCUUCUCCGGAAAAACGAGUUACUAUUCACUUUAAGUGAAAACUAAUAAUCGCGUAACUUCUCCGUUUUAGCUCAGUUUCUCCUGAAACUUGACGAGUGCUUAUGUAAUUAAAUUACAUACAUAAACAUCAUCAACAGAGAGUUUAGCUACACUGCAAAAAUCUCAGUCCUUACAAUACCGUUGAAUAUGAUCUAUAUCACUUGAAGUGUUUAGAAAUCAAAUUUCAUAUAUUUUCGAUAUUGUUCUCUUAUCCAUCGAGUGGAUACAAAAAUGAACGGCUAAAAAUGAAUAUUCUUUAAAAAAUGAUGAUAAGAGUCUUGUAAUUAAGAUCAAGAGUAUAGAUCUUAUUUUAAAUAGUUUAAAAAAUUUUCUAACAAAAAAUUAAAUGAUUUCGGUAUUUUUACGCCGUUAGACAAGAAAACGUCUCAUAUCGACCAUUAAAAUUACAAAUUUUGAAAUCUUUGAUCAUUAGGCAAAUGAUGUCGAAAAGAUUUGAAAUUUGAUUUAUAAACUUGUAAGGACUGAGAUUUUGGCAGUGUAGCUAAACUCUCUGUUGAUGAUAUUUUUGUGUGUAUUUUAAUUACAAAAGUACUCAUCAAGUUUCGAAAGAAAAUGAGUUAGAAUAGAGAUUUUACGCGAUCUUCAGUUUUCACUUAAAAUGAAUAGUAACCCGGAUUUUCAAAAAGGCCAAUGAGGAGAGAUGGCUUCUAGCGCGUAUCGGACUCCGUUCAUAGCGAUCCAAUAGCUCGUUUUUGCUAGUUCGACUAUUCUGGAACCAUUGGCACUGUUGGAUUUCAAGUUUGACGAACAGAUUUCGAGAAAACUGAUGAUACAUAUAUUAUAUGUAUUUGUGUGUCGUUUUGCCAUUUGGAGAGAGGACGGGUUUCGUCGCAAAUCUGCAAUCAAACCAGGCAAAACAAAAUUGUGGUUUUGUUGUCUCUGUCGUGCGGAUUGCAUUGGUGUGAUCCGUUCGCAAAUCUGACGGACGGAUUUCCUGAUAUCGCACGUUGAUCGAGGAGGGGUUUUAGAUGGCAAAAUGAUAAUUUUGCGUAAAGCUUGACAUUUUAUGUACCGUUUUGCAUGAAAUCGAAUGUGGGGGUGUAUUCACGUGUUUUACUCGCGCUGUGAGGGAUUAAGUGUUAAAUACCGAGUUUCGGUGGACUAACUUGCAAUUUUACACCUUAUAUAUAUAGCUCACCUAGGGUUUGCCCCAUGCAAACCCUAACCCUAGCCCUAGCUGCGCCCCCAGCCACCUCCAUCUCCCUCCCCUGCCCUCACUGCGUGCACCCCGGCCGCCAGCGCGCGCCUCCGGCCACUAGAACAAGCUGCAUUGCCUCUGUAACGACCCAGCCCACUAACAAUAAUAACUCGUUGGGCCCAACCACCGGCCCAAAAUACUUAAGCCCAUUUAUUAUUACUAGUGUCUAAGUCUCUUAUAUACUCAAUCAUAUUCUUAUUCCUAUCCGAUGUGGAAUUAUUGGGGUGUGACAGACUCCCCCCGUUAAGAUCCUGACAUCCUCGUCAGUCCAAUCACACACACAACCCAAAAUCACCAGGUAAUGUGAGACUUGUCUCACUAGCCUUGUCAUCCAGACCUUGGCAUAGCCGGUCACCUUGUCACCUUGUCAUUAUCAAGGCUGAUGUUUUGACUUUUUGUUGGUUCUUUGUCAGUAUGGUGUGUGUCGAAUCUGGCUAAUGUACAGACGUGAUGUCAGAUCUCUGUUCGUGCAUUCUAGUGCAUUAUAGGAUUAUUGGUCGGCUUAGUUUUGUGUCGCGUCUCCAACUUUCUGUUGGCGAUGGAUCUGUGGGUAUUUUACAUUUCUUUCGAUAAGUACGUUGGCUGCAGACAACGUAGUGUUGAAAGUUAGGACAAGAUAUCCUACUCCUUUUGGGGAAUAUCUGGAUUGGGUUAGUAUUUUUCUCUUGCAAGAGAGGUGAUGAUCACCUUUGAUCAUCUAGUGAGCCUGGAGGUUGGCUCAGAAGUCCCAGCUUGUGAUAUUAUACAAGGUAUACGUUUUAGUUUAUCGUGGAUACCUGGGAUUGGAUUGGAUUGCUGUUCGGUCACUUGGUGAGAGGCAUGUUGGAGUCUCAAUGAGACUGGCAUUUAAUGUUACUAGGAACAUCGAUCGCUAGGGUCUUUUGGGGGUGACAGCGACAGGAUCUCGUAGAGACAGAUGUUGGGCAUCACUGGUGGUUAUGAUCACAUGUUGCGAGUGGCAACUCUGUUCACCUAGUGACGGAAAUGCAUUAGUCUUAUGUUGAUUUGUUUGUACCCGAAUGAGUGUUGAGCAGGCUAAAUUAUCGGGCUCAACUAAUAGUGGCAGCCUUAGACCUUUUGGUCUAGGCAGAAGGUUAGGUCUUGGACCUAAGUGAGUCGGAUUUCAUCGGUGGGUUCCGAUGGUUAAGGUUUGGCUUUGUCUGGUUAUAGUUCGGACUGGUGGGAGAUUGUAGCCACCGAGGUGAGUGUUGGUACUCUAGUUUAGGAGCUUUUUUGCCAUGCCACAACAGCAGUGCUUGGUGCAUUAGUGGUGUGUUAUCCGAAAUUAUUUUCGGUGGUGUGUAAGCAAGUUUCGGGGACGAAACUUUCCUUAAGGGGGGGAUGAUGUAAGGACUGAGAUUUUGGCAGUGUAGCUAAACUCUCUAUUGACGAUAUUUUUGUGCGUAUUUUAAUUACAAAAGUACUCGUCAAGUUUCGAAAGAAAACAAGUUAGAAUGGAGAUUUUACACGAUCUUCAGUUUUCACUUAAAGUGAAUAGUAAUCGGGAUUAUCGGAAAGGUGAAUGAGGAGAGAUGGCUUCUAGCGCGUAUCGCACUUCGUUCAUAGCGAUCCAAUAGCUCGUUUUCAUUGGUUCGACUAUUCUGGAACCAUUAGCACUGAUGGAUUUCAAGCUUGAUGCACGGAUUUUGAGAAAAUUGAUGAUACAUAUAUUAUAUGUAUUUAUGCGUCAUUUUGCCAUUUGGAGAGAGGAUGGGUUUCGUCAUGAAUCUACGACCAAACCAGGCAAAACUAAAUUGUGGUUUUGUUGUCUCUGUCGUACGGAUCAGACUGGUGUAAUCCGUUCGCAAAUCUGACGGACGGAUCUCCUGAUAUCGCGCAUUGAUCAAGGAGGGGUCUUAGAUGGUAAAAUGGUAAUUUUGCGAAAAGCUCGACAUUUUAUGUACUAUUUUGUGUGAAAUCGAAUGUGGGGGUGUAUUCGCACGUUUUACUCGCACUGUAAGGGAUUUAGUGUUAAAUACCAGGUUUCGGUGGACUAACUUGCAACUUUACACCUUAUAUAUAUAGCCCACCUAGAGUUUGCCACAUGCAAACCCUAACCCUAGCCUUAGUUGCGCCCCCAGCAAUCUCCAUCUCCCUCCAUUGCCCUCACUGCGCGCACCCUGACCGUCGGCGUGCACCUCCGGCCACUGGAACAAGCUGCAUUGCCUCCUUCUCCUUUAUCACCUCCACCACCUUUGCCCGUGGACCACCCUGGGUGAUCCUUACCUAGGGCACCCCCCUCUGGCAGUGUCCCUACCUCCGGCGACUCCUCCAACUUGUCCCUGCCGGCCACCGCCGCUCCCGCGCGCCGCCACUGCAAGCCCAAGGAGCCUGCAGUUUCCUGGAGCUGCUAGGCCGAGGAAGCCUUAGCUUCCUAGCCCCCGCACCACAGCCGUCAGGAGCCACUCCCGCGGCACCUCUCCGGCCUCAGGUGUUCCCCGCUGUCGCCCCUGAGAGCCCCACCGGCCACUGUGGCCUCGCCGCUCCUGGACCCGAGCCCUAGCCCGUAUGGGCUCAAGUUGCUCCGCCGCGGCGGCCGUAGGCAGGCGGGAGCCUCGGCCUCCCCACGUCGACCACACCUGUCGGCCGCCGGCCGUGCCCUAGCCCCCUCUGCCCGGUAAGCCUUAAUUAAUGUUGUUUGUGCGUAGUUCUGGUUUGUGCUUAUUUUUUCAGCGAUCCGAGGCUGUUCCGAUGCCUCCGGAGGUGAGCACGAUGAUCGCUGGUCAGUGCUGAUCAAAGUGCUCACCUCACUUUGGAUCAGCGGACACCGAAACUGCAUUUCCAGCACAGUUUUCCUUGAGUGCGCACUAUUCGCUAAAAGUUCGGGUCGUUCCCGCGCCUCCCACAAUGAACUGUUGUGCUCCGAAUCAUGAGCACGACCUUCGGUACAUCGAGACCUGUCAAUACGUGUCUCAGCGGACCUCGAAAGUCUUCGGUUUGCGUUAACAAGCCACAAAAUCACCUGAUUUACAUAAAAUGAUAGGAUUUUAUGUAAAUGUAGGGACUUUUAUGCAAUUGUGCAUCUUGUGGCUACUGUGGGCAGUAUGUAAGUGUAUGUGGUGACCUCUGGACUGAUUGUCAAUGUCUGAUAGCCUUUGUGGAAAUCGAAAGUCGAUUUCGAUGCAUUUUUCGGCGAAAUUCGUCGGCGGAACGUGGUUUCGGUUCGGAUUUCAUCCGAAGGUGUGUGUUUGCCCUGUGUUGUACAUGUCGCUGAGCCUUGUCGGCUAGUCACCAUCAUCAUAUCGUGAGUUCCGAGAUGAUGGGUGAGCGACGGUGGGUUCCGGUGUUGAAAUUGACACUUCCGGGAAUCCGGAUCCGAACAAUUAUCCGACGAUAAUUGUUUGUUUGUGUUACCUUGUGUUUGCUGCCAAGACAUCCAAAUCGAUGUGUUUUGUGGCAGCGAGUGACUCGUGGCACGAGUCGGUGAGUUUCGGGACACUUAGUGGGUCCCGACGGCGUUCCGGUGCGAUUUUCAGGACUUCCAACAAGUUACGGUGAUCGGUUUAAGGAAACCGAUUUUGGGGAUUUGUGUGGGGUUUGUGAGUUGAGUAUUUUGGAUUGGUGGGUUGGUUACUAACCCGGUGAAUCUUCGUAGGUCCGGUUGACUUGUUGCGCACCUAGGUUUCCGACGCGAUAGUGACAAGUGGGUGCUUCGAGCUGGUAGUCGGUGAGAUCGUUUCGCUUUUUUCUGUUCUUCUAUAUCAGUAUCGUAGUCUCUACAUAUCAGUUACCUUUGUAAAUCGUUCGUUCAUCUAUAUCUUGUUGCUUGCAUGAUGAUAGUUAUUGAUAGACAUGUAGAGCAGGCUUACAUAUGUUGUAUAUCUGUGGACCUUGGGUCCAGACAACACAUCGACUCCUUUGUCGUGUGUUCGAUCUAGUUGAUCGUGGUUCGGCGUUGUACGCCUUUUCAUCUGGCUUCGGCCAAGGCACCUGUCUUCUUGCCGGUUUUCGUAUUGAGCAUAUCAGCCGGUUGCAUAUUGAGCAUAUCAGUAUGAUUUAGUCACAGCACUAUGUAUUCUAGACACCGUUUGGUUUGGCCACCAACCAAGGGGUGUGCGUAUCCGAAUAGGUCGUCGGUAAACGCAUGAAUCAUAGUCAGUGUAUGCUCUAUGACAGGCAACGCUUGAGAUCUGCGAACCAAUAUGGCAGCACCAGAUUAGGUUUGAUUUGGAUUAUCCACCCUUGAGGCAUAUGUUCAGUUGUGAUUCGGUUACAGCAGUAGUUUGAUUCUUGCUCAUUUAUUAUUAUGUUUCUAUUACUACUGUAAUUGCUCGUAUAUCAUACCAUAUACAUAUCUGUUGUUCUAUCUCCUUUGUUUUCCAGUGAAUACGACUUGCAUUUGUGGCUCUGUCGUACCCACUGGGAAACGUUGAUUGUAGUUUCUCACCCCCCAUUUCCCCAGGUGACUUGGGCGAGGAAUUGAUUCUUGGUGCGACGGUUGGACAUCCUAGCUAGGCUGCAGUAGCGGUGGUCACCCUGAUUAUGUUUCAUUUCUGCAUUAGUAAUUUAACUAAUUAAAUGGUUUAGUUAGAUGAUCAAUACUACUGUUUGAGUAUUUGUGAACUGUUGAGUUGGUGAUUUCCUUUUAUGCAUGCAAACAGAAUUGGUCGAUUAAUUGGAGAUUUAUGGAUCUUUGGCAUUGGAUUUAUGCAUCGUGUUUUUUCUACCCCUCGAGGUAGUUGGUUUUCAAAAUGGAGUUUUCGAGUGGGAAACAGUUUCAAAAGGAUUUCGAAUGGCUUUCAUGAAUGGUCAAAUAGAGUUUAAAAACAAAGUUUCUAGAUGGGGAGCACUUUUAAAUAGGAUGAUUGUUGUAUUGUGCAUUGCAUCAUCUAACGCCUAAGGAGUGUUUGGAGGCAUGCAUCAUCUCUGAGUAUCACUAAUUGUAUGGAAAUGCAUUGCAUGAAUUGCUUGUAAAUUGGUAAAUGUAAGUUGUUGUUGUGAUCCUGAUGUUGUUGGUACGCCGUGCAAAUACAAAGAAGACUCUAUCCGUGUGACCAGAGGAAUUUUAUAUUUGUGGCGGGUCUGUACGUCACGUGGGCCAGGUUGAAAAAAAAAAUGGCGCGUUUUCGGCAACUCUGAUUUCUAAAAUAGUAUUCUUUAUAAAAAGACUCUUAAAAUCGGCUCCGGGGCGUAACAAAACACUUCAAGUAGUAUAGAUCAUAUUCAACGAUACCGAUCAUCGAUUUGAAUACUCUAUCAUCAAAAAUAAAUGGGUAGCAAUGGAGUCUGUUUGCUAUCGAUAGUAUUCUAGCUCAACUAUAUAUAUAUAGUUCAGCUAGAAUACUCUCAAAAGCAUCAAGAGGUUGGUGAUUUUAAGUUUUUAACCCUUGGACGGAGAAAUGUAAGGUUGGGAUGAUAGUGGUAGGUGGUGGUAGAAGGAAUAGUGUUUGAUCCAAGGAUUAUUAGUAAUCAAGGAGUAGAUCCAAGGGUUAGAAACCUAUAAGCACCAAGGGGGUAAUACUUCUAAAAGUAUUCUAGCUAAAUUCUAUAUUUAUAUAUAAUGUAAGAUGAUAAAUAUUUUAGCUUUUUGAUCGAUACAUAUUAUUUCUUUUUGACAAUAUAAAUAAAUUAUAUAUGGCAGAGAUUUUUUUUUCUUAAAAUUUAUGAACUAUCAAUAAAAAUUUUACUAGCCUUCAUUCGUACGAGAAAUAUAAUAAUAUUUUAACAAAAUUAAUAUUUUAUACAUAAAAAAAUAUAUUAUUAUAUUAAUAAUAUUAUAUUUUAUUAAUAGUAUUCAUGUCGUGUCCGUGUCCUUAUUUUUUUAAAGAUGCCGAGUCGCGGUGCCCAAGUUGUGCCGUGUCUCGUAUCAGUGUCUGUGACGCCUAAUUACAUAUUAUUUUUAUAUAUACUAAUAUAAAUACUUUAGGAUUUAUAAAUUAUAUAUAUAUAAUUAAUUUUUAAAAUACAUUAUAUAAAAUAUUAAGAACUGUAUAUAAAAUUUAUGGAUCUACAGGGUGCAGGCAAUAAUUGAGAGGGAAAGAGGGGCCGAACAUUUCGUGGUUUUUAGUCUGCGUCGUCGUCAUCUUCAAGGCUUGGUCAGAGAUUUUAUUAUUAUUUUUUUCCCUUUUCAAAUUUUAUUAUUGGACUAUUUUGUAAUUUUGAAUAUUUAUUGGUAGGGGUAAUAGCAAAGCUAUGAGCCAAGAGAAUCACGGGAAGGACAAUUCUACAUAUGUCGAGGAAAAGUUUAAACAUCAAUUUGCAAAAAAAAAAAUCUCUCCUUUCGGUAAAAGAAGAUUCUUUCUUAGCCAUGAAAUUCUCAUUGUUAUUUUAGUCAUUGUUACUUUAGAUCAUCAAAACAAAAUUUGUUACUAUUACGUUUAUUUUAUAUUUUUUUAAUCAUAUUGCUGUUAAAAAUUUUAAUUAAUUCUUUUAAAAAGUGUUAAUAUGACAUCUAGUUCAAUUCAGCUAUCCUGUCAUCUUAGAAAGAUGACGUGAUUAUUGAAUUAGUUCUUAUUUUAUCAUUUUAUUUGGAAAAUUAUAUAAAAGUUAACAAAAUAAUUCGAUUGAAAUAAAAAUUAAUAUUUAGUAUCUCAGUUGAGACAAGUUGACCUUCAAUAACCUAAAAAAAAGAAUUUACCCGAUGCAAUUCACUAUAUAUGAAUAAGAAAAAAGCUCUACAUGUACUAUACACCUUAUAUAUAGGUGUAUAUUUUGUACAUCUCUCAUCCAAGCAUUGCAUUCAUGCAUUUACGAAGCUCCUUUGAAUUUUUAGAAGUUGAUAAUAUUAGUAGGAGAAUUAUAGCCCUUCGAUGAGUGAGUUGUAUAUAUUACACUUUGUCUACUGGUGUAAAGUAGCAUUUGAGAAAUAAAUAAAACAAUUGUUCUACUUUAAAUGCUUAAACUGUUAAAUAACGAUAUUUAAAUAUUUUUAUGUUUAACACUUCCUUUCACGUCUGAAUUCGACUCAAACUCAAGAACUUUUAUUCUGAUAUCAUGAUAAUAAAUAAAACAACCGCUGUACGUACUCUAAAAACUUAUGCUAUAUAGAGAAUGGUAUUUAAAUAUUUUUAUAUUUAACAUCAUUGUUCCAUGAAUAAACUCAUAUAUAUCAUUAUUUCAGCAGUACAACAAUAUAUUUUCUGCUUUAUAUAUAAAUAAAUCUUGACAUUAUAGUUGAACAAAAUGCAAUAGUAAACCUGAAGAAUAGUACGAUAAAAUUUAUUUGUCAAAAAAUAAGAAGCAAAAAUUUUAGGAAAACACUUUAAUGUUUUUAAGCAAAAUGGCCUACGCAAAACUUUAUAAGGACCAAUAAUGGAAAUUGGAACAAACCUUUUUUAAUGUCAAUGUUUCAUGUACCUCUGACUCAAGCGUCACUAAUUUGUAGUUAGCCUCUCAACUUUGUCUUCUAAAACAUUUACACCACAGUUAAACGAAAUGGAUAAUAUGCUACUUUUCUUUUUAAAAAAUAAAUAAUUUUCUAAAUAAACAAUCAUCGCGUGUAUAUAAUAAAUCUCUGAUGGUCCCUCCAAGAACUCUUAACUCUGUCCAUGUUUGUAGUUGCAUCUAUAUUACAAAAAUUUUGGUUAGAUUUGAAGUAGAAUCUUAGUUAGAUUAGAAUAAAUAUUUAAAUCUGUUGAGGGUAAAUCGAGUAAGAUUUAAAUAUUAAUUACAUUGAAAAUUUUACUAGACUAAUACUUUUGUUGUGCAUUAAUGCACGGCCAAGUAGCUCUCGUAUGGCUGAGUCUCUUUCGCGGUGUCCGUGCGUACUCACGAAAGAGAUUAGGCUUAGUUUAGUAUAUUAAUUAAAUUUCCUAAAUUUCAUCAAAUUAUUGGAUAGCCCCAUAUGCUACAUGUAUUUUUAGUUAUACUGUAUUUUCAAUUGUAUGAAACCAAACACUGAUGUAAGCGGAUUAGUGCUUAAUUAAUUUAGUAUAAUAAUAGAGUCAGAGAGACAUGGAUUCCUACAAUGAGGGUCAAUGCACGCGAAGAUGGUUUUACUUGACUCCCGUAGGAAAAGUUGAAAAGCUUAUAUAAGUUAAUUAUGAAUGAUAUAUAAGACAAAGAUGACCCAUAUAGAUAGAUAGAAGAUCCUUUGAAGUUUGACCACAUGCUUUUGAAACCUUUGAUUUUUUGUUGAAAGCGAAAUGUAAAUGUUUGAACAAACAUUCCCCUUAUACGGACCAGUAUUCGGGACGCCGUGUAGGACUAAAGAGAGAGAGAAGCUUAAAAUGUACGCAAAUAAAUCACCUCAACUUUUGAGUCAUUAAUUUUAAAAAGGAACUUUUUCCUAUGAGUUAAUUUUAUACAGCUCCUUAUAAACACACCGAAUAACAAAUAUAUUUAUAUAACCGACCGUCCCUAAAAUAAGUGGCAAAGAAUUUGGUGGUUGGUAUCCGAGACCCAAGUUCGAAUCCUAGUUAAUUCACAUUUCUAGAUAAGUUUAUUUCUAAAUGAAAUAAAUGAAGCGGGUAUCGUGCUAUCUAUCUCUCUCAAAAAAAAAUAAAUAAAUAAAUAAAUAAAUAAAUAUAUUUAUAUAAAGUUCCACUUUUUCAUAUUCAUUCCUAUAAAAGUUUAAUAAUGUUCAUAUUUGCUCUCCUACUUUGUUACCGUUAGAAUACUAUUUAAUUUUUAACAAAAGAUAUAUGAAAUGAUAUUUUUACCAUCAUAAUUAAAUAUAUCCUUUCAAAAAUUCCAACUGUUAGGAUUAUGUAAAAAUAUUCUUUCAAAAAUCUCCAACGAUCAUUUUCUUCUUUUCUACCAUUACAAAAAAUAUAAAAGGGGUAAAAAGAUCAAUUUACCUUAUUCACUAACCACGGUUAAAUAUUUUACUUAUGCUUAACUAUAUUUCUCUAACAGAUCCUGACAACAGGGAUAUAUUUGAAAACGUCAGGACUUUUGUAGGGAUAAAUAUGAAAAGUUGUACUUUAUAGGGAUAUAUUUGGCAUUCGAUGUAGUAUUCCUGAGGUUUGGAUAGGAUUGGCUGCAGUAUUAGUGACUAGUCGACACAUCUGGAGAGUGUCGGACUGAGUUGGAGUCAUUUCUGCACGAAAUGGAUGCAGAAAUAGAAUCGGCGCACUCAAACAAGCAAAACUAGAGUUUUGCCAGAUUCGGGCGCCAAGAACUGGAUUUGGGUCCCCCAGAUAUUGAGCGUAGAACAGAACAGAACUGGAAGCCAAUUUGGAUCCAGAUUCCGGGCGCCCAGAUGUGGGUCCGAAAGUCAGCCUUGGAAAUAUCAUUUGAGUUGACACGUGGCUGGUGGUAGCUGUGGUCCGCCGGAGCAGGUUUAGGGCGCAGCACACUGCGGGCGUUGGAACCGAAGAGGAAGACUUAUGCAGCCUGGAGGAUUCGGACGCCCAGAAUGUUGUUUCGGGCGCCCGAAAGUGCCCGUUUCUGCAAAAUUAUAGAUUUGCAGCUGUUGCUCCCGAGGCUUAUUGGGCCAUUCUAACACCCUAUAAAUUGGUGGUGUUCGACCACCUUGGGCUCUUUUCACCUGUUUUUCACAGAGAAGCCUCAAAUUGCAUCAUAGUCCCUCAAAUUGUUCCAAUUUCCACAAAUUCAGCUUGAGGAGUGCUGAUUCUGCAGUUUUCUAGCAGCGACCGUCGGCGUUUCGGCUCGUGUGCGACAUAGGGAGCUCCGUUUUUCACGAAAUUUGGUUUGUUGGAUUCUAGACUUCAAGAGAAAUCCGUGGAACCCAAUAUCUCAGAAUUUGAUUGAGGUUAGCUUGGUCAAUUUUGUGUUUCUCUUCACUGAUGGUGGUUUGGACCUGAUUUUUGAGUUUCUUGGAUUCUCUUGGUGCAAUCUGUGGAAGGAGCUGGAAUUGCUACCUGAGCCUUGUAUGUUAUCACCCUCCACUGGAUUUGGGACCUUCCUCAUCCGAUUUGGAAGUGAUUAGGUGGGUUUUGACAUUGAAGUUCGGAGAUUUUAAAGCUUAAGUGCUGGAAAUUGGGAUUUUGAUGUAAUUAUUGAUGUUUUGAUGUCUAGACCUUGGAGGAUCUUUGUUGCUAGUUGGGUGUGAUUUCGGCUGAAGCUCACAGUAGAUUUGUGACCUUCUUGCUGCCAGGGAAUUGCUUUUGUGGUGGGUUAAUUCACCGGGUUUUACUCCUAAGCAUCGUAUAGUAAACAUAUAUAGUUUCAACUUUUAUACACUAUGUCAUUAGCUUGAAUUCAUCGAUUAGCACCUUGACUGAAAUCUGAAUUUGAAGCAUGCUGGAAUGAGUUAGAAAUUUGAUACAUGUUGGACUUGGAAAUAGAAUUAGGAGAAAACCAACGAUUCGACCCCGUCAUAUGCUUAAACUACCUGAUUUAGCUUUAGGAGCCGUGGUAGUUUGUAUCACCGCAGUUUCAGCGCGGUGGGUACCCAGGGUAGUUUAGAAUGCAUUUACGCUCAUGCUGUGUCACGCCCUGAGCCCGAUCCUUUUGGCCGGUUCGAGAGCGUCAAACAGACGCCGAACGGACAGAGCCUCCCCUGUCCGCCCAAGGCUCAACACAAGUAUCAAUAGAGUAUAAAGUUUGCAUGAGCGGAAGUAUACACAAUGGCUUGCACGAGGAUAAACAAUAGUCAAUAGUGAAAGUAAAUAACUAC